rnacentral:rRNA from 1 species
UACGAAGGGGGCUAGCGUUGUUCGGAAUCACUGGGCGUAAAGCGCACGUAGGCGGGUCGUUAAGUCAGGGGUGAAAUCCCGAGGCUCAACCUCGGAACUGCCUUUGAUACUGGCGACCUUUGAGUCCGGGAGAGGUGAGUGGAACUCCGAGUGUAGAGGUGAAAUUCGUAGAUAUUCGCAAGAACACCAGUGGCGAAGGCGGCUCACUGGCCCGAUACUGACGCUGGAGGUGCGAAAGCGUGGGGAGCAAACAGG